rnacentral:rRNA from 1 species
UACGUAGUGGGCGAGCGUUGUCCGGAAUCAUUGGGCGUAAAGAGCGUGUAGGCGGCUUGGCAAGUCUGACGUGAAAGCCCGCGGCUCAACCGCGGAUUGUCGUUGGAAACUGCCUCGCUAGAGUCCGGAAGAGGAGAGCGGAAUUCCUGGUGUAGCGGUGGAAUGCGCAGAUAUCAGGAAGAACACCCGUGGCGAAGGCGGCUCUCUGGGACGGUACUGACGCUGAGACGCGAAAGCGUGGGGAGCGAACAGG